rnacentral:lncRNA from 1 species
GGUUAUUGGUCUGCUGCUAUUGAAGAACCAAGGUUAGCUUGGGCAUGUGUUGUUUUAUACUCUAUUUUAGCAUUUUGUAAUGCUUAGUGAUGGUGGUUAUGGGUGUUAAAAUGGAAUGUUUGUUAAUGAAAUGAAAUCUUUUUAUGUUGGUCUACUUGUUAACUUUUUGUAUUUUUUGAGUAAUGGUGUAAAUAUUUUGAUUUACAGUAUACUAAAACAAACUACAUAACUAUUAGAAAACAGGAGAGG